rnacentral:rRNA from 1 species
UACGUAGGGGGCGAGCGUUGUCCGGAAUCAUUGGGCGUAAAGCGCGUGUAGGCGGCCCGGUAAGUCCGCUGUGAAAGUCCAGGGCUCAACCCUGGGAUGCCGGUGGAUACUGUCGGGCUCGAGUCCGGAAGAGGCGAGUGGAAUUCCUGGUGUAGCGGUGAAAUGCGCAGAUAUCAGGAGGAACACCAACGGCGAAGGCAGCUCGCUGGGACGUGACUAACGCUGAGACGCGAAAGCGUGGGGAGCAAACAGG